UUAAGCAAAUAGUUCACUUUAGUGUGUGUUGGUUAGUAGGUGUAGUUUACUAGCAGCUAGGCUAGCUUUAGACACUGCCAACACAUCAGUGGCUAUGGCUUUAGGGUUUUUCCUUGGAGUGGCCUUAUUUCUCCUGUCUGUGCGGUCUGUUGUAAAGUGCGCUGCCAUUCCCGAGGGAGUUCUUCACAUGGAGUGUCAUGAGCGUUAUUUCAUGAUAGCUGUUGAUCUUUCCUUCACUGGGGAGGACCCUCGCUUUGAGGCCGUAGCUGGGACAGGUGUGUACCCAAUCAGUGAGCAGUAUGCAGCAACGUGUGGCUACAGUGUCUGCCUUCUCCCUCUGCAAGACCAUGUGGAGCUAAGAGCCUCUUACUUCAGCUGUCACACUGACAACAAAGAUGACAAAAUGUUCAAAUUUAAGUUCAACCUGAUUGCGACACAUGAAGGAGAGGAAGUCACCUAUGCUCUGAGCAAGACCUGUUCUCCCACACUCCCCUGGUCUCCCAGAGAGGUUACCUGUGAGGUUAACUACAUGGAAGUGUCUGUAAGGAGUGAAGUCAGCUGUCCAUCUGGUACAAUGAAAGAUGACUGGAAUGCCCUCAGACCUGCACAUAGCUCAACCACUUCAGACUGGCAGGUGACAUUUCAGAGAGCAGAGGAGCAGUUGCCGCCCAUGAACCUCUCUGAAGCCCGUAAACGGGGUUAUGCAUUUGACUUGAAAGAUGGAAGGCUUGUAUUUCGCACACCAUACGGACAACCUGACUCGCUCAGCACUACGGUGAAUGGCGUUCGAGUAGAGGUUGUCUAUGCAACUCUGUUCUCCAGACAAAGCUGGGUUGUCCUCAUGGUCGACCUGGUGGCUGCUUGCUCCAUGCAUGAAGGAUCAUACGAUGACAGCGGCUAUAUGUUGUGGCAGACUCCAGGGGUGCUGUAUCCCAGUCUUGACAGCACACAGCUCAACAUUGGACUCAAUGGUGAACUUGUGGAGCAGCCAAUUGCAGAGGAGAGAGGCUACAUUGUGGAGAAGCAAAACACCACAGUCCAGAUCAAAAUCCCUUAUAAUGCUGAAGGAGGAUACAGGAAGAGCAUAGUGUCUGGCGAUCUCAACGAGUACUAUGUCUUUCAUCUGUACUUGGAACAAAUCAUGGUGGAUGAGGAAAACGUAGAGACCAGGAUCCGCCUUUACAGGACGCUGGCCACUCCCCUGCUGCCACACCCAAUCUUCACUGAAAACCAAACUCUUAUCAACGAGCGCGCGUUCACGGUCUACCUCGGAGAUCUCCCUGAGGACGUUGAGUUGGCAGCUGUUCAUUUGAAUGGACAUAAAUACACGCUGCCAUUUAAUAAUACAAGCAGCCAAACCAUCACAAAGGUUGUUCAUCCCAACAACACUCAUGGCUACACUCUGAAGGUGCCUUUUGACGACCCUGUCGUUGUACAAAAGUUCUGUAGAAAACACUCACUACUUCAGUAUAAGCUGGACAUCAACUACAUACUGAGCAUUUUGCCUGAAAAUGAGCCUUAUUACCACCUGGAAUCUGUUGAGGCAUUGUUCACAGAUGUGUCUCCUCCGACCUUUCACGCCGUCUGUUCGGAGUCUGGGAUCCGCUUCAAACUGGACCACCGGUCUUUUGACUACAUGUGGGACAUCAGUGUCGGUUCAGACCUGCUGACAUCAGAGCUGGCAGCCCAGCACGGCUACAUCCUGAGCAACAAUAGCCAGAGUCUGCUGCUCGACGUGCCGCUCUUCACUCAUGGCUACGAGUACAAGGAUGUCACUUUGAAGGGAUUCUUUGGCACUUUUGAGAUCCUUGUGCGGGAUCAUGACACAUCGGAGGUCCAGAGCUCCACUGUCAAGACUUGUCCCUUCACUGCUACUGAACUCAUUCUGUGUUCGACUGACGGGAGGAUGACCGUGGUGGCUGACUUGUCUCUGGCCAUCCCAAGUGGAGGAGUUCCUGCUAGAACCAACCUCGUAGACAAAUACUGCAGACCCAAAGAGGCAGACGACACCAAGGCUCUCUUCUCUUUUCCACUCAACGGCUGUGGAUCCACAGUCAAGAUUGACAGGCAAAAUGUGACCUAUCAAAAUGAGAUUUUCUUCAGCAAGAAGUACCUUGAUGUGAACGGAGCAGUAUCUGUCAAUACCACUGAGAGGGUGAUGGUACAGUGCACAUAUUCUCUGGCAAGUCUCCAUCGCCUCUUCUCUCUGUACAAGUUUGAGUCUGACAAAGUUGGUGUCGGCCGCAUUAUCCACACUGCACAGCCCACAGCAGCUCAGAGUCCCACCAUCAAGCCAACAACAGCACUUAAAACCACACUUGCUGCCAAAGGCCCAACUAGAGUACCUGCUGCAUACCUGCCUGCUGCCAACCCACCAGUUCGCUACAUUAGAGUUUCCAGGGUUAAAAGUUUUCUCAGUGGUAUGAGAAAAGGCGGGUCCACCACCCACUAUACACACGCGGUAAUAUUGACCCAGGAAGGUGUUAAACACUAAUUUGGAGACACUGGCUAUAGAUUUGGUAAAUGUGGUAAGUGAGGAUGAAGCUGUUACUGCCCCAAUAUGGCAAAAGGUGAGCCCUUGUGCAGAAGUGUAAAAAACUUGAAAUGUCAGGUUACACUAGGUACAGUACUUGUAAAUAUUACAAUAGUAUUUUCCUACUCUACAUUUGAAAGGGAAUGAUGUGCUUUUUUUCACUACACUAUUUGCUAGCUAUAGUCACUAAUUAACCUGCAAAACUUGAAGUUCUAUGAUUUUAACUACAGUGUAGUAAGUGGUUAAAAUUGACUUGACCUUUACCAGUUGCAACAUUUAAGGUGUCAUUAAUAAAACUUAAAAAACACCUUUACACAUUCUUACUAAAUGAAUUUAAUGUCCUGUAGUGAAGUUUUACACUAUUUCUGUUUUUUUUACUUCAACAUGAGGCCUAAUCAGUUUCAGGAUUAACUUGACAUUAAAGAGAAACUGGGGCAAAUUUGCCCAAGAAGCAUGGAUUAUACUAUGGGGAACUUCUUACUGUACUACAAAAAGUUGAAACUAGGACUAAACUAUGCUGUAAAAGUAUAAAAUGGCAUUUAAUUUUGGAAAAACUCUUUUCCCAAGUGGAAACUCUUAAUUAGUAACCGGUGACACAUGUUGCUCCAUAGUGGAUGAAUGCGGGGGAAUGUAAAAGUACAUUUACGCAAGCAUUUUUCCCCCCCCCACAUCUUUUGCAUGCAAAACAUUUGAAGUGCUUAUGAAAUAUUUUGUAAAUGAAACUACCAUUACAGGAUCUUCCUUCAGCAUGAAUGCAAGACAUAAGGAUGCCAUUUGAGUUGAAAGUUGCAUAAAACAUGACUGACAGACUAAUACUUUAUAAUAUUAUAAAUUGUAUUUUUUUAAAAAGGGGAGAAUCUUAGUUUCAUAAACAGUCAAAUAAACGGGGUCUUCUAAGUCAACCAGCAGGGGGCGCUACUUAAUUAGCUGCUAACACAGACGCAACGACUGUUUCUCUUUUGACUCCAACAUGUGAGCUGAAACUAACUCGGACACCACUUCAGACUCUCUCCAACAACGGUUUCAUAAAUGGUGAACAAUGAACUCCAGUGAAGCGCACUGUGUGCGGGGGUCCAGGCCGCCAACCCUGCCCCCUCUCUCCAGCAGGACCCUGGGACACCCCUCUUUCCUGCCCCUGUACCUGACUGCGGGCUACCCACACCCUCACCCGGACUGCCGCGACGUCCACCCCAUCACCCCGGAGGAGUUCUUCUACUCGGACCCGACCAUGAGCUGUGGGAGGAGGGUCCCCAACUCAGUGAGUGAGCUGAAGGUCUUCGAUUGCUUCCAGCUCAACACUCCCUCACCCGUUAUGUCUGCCUGCCCGGCCCCACCAACCGGUCCAGACCCAUUCAGAUCUGAACCACAACCCACCAGGGAUCUGGGCGACUUCACCUCCUUCAAAAUAAAUACCCUCCACCCUCCAGUGCAGCCAAGCCGCGUCGUCAUCCAGCUUACCCAGGAGGAGGACCAGGCUAUUACUAACCUCCUGAAACUACACCACCAGGAGCCUAUACACAGUGACGAGACCCUUACUGCUCCGCAAACGGACUUCCUUAGUCACGCUGAUCCUAUGGACUCCUCUUCAGCUCUGGAGGUUUACAAGCCCUUCUGUAGCGAUGUGCAACAUCCGAGCGAGGCCAGUUCGCGGGGUCAGGGAAGAUGUUGGUCAGAUACGGAGCUCGAGGCAGCCAACACCCUCUUGAGUGGCUUUAGCCUGAUGGAGGAGGACAGAAUCUGGAGCCAAAACCACAACAAAUCAGACAUACCACUUCCUAAUCCUCUGCCAUACCAGCGGCAAAGAUCUGAGACUCCUCCUGUAGCAAUAACUGCUGGUUGCACUCAAAAGAACAUCGGCUACAUCAGCUUUAGUUGUGUCAGAGAAUGUGGAGAACCAGGCUGGGAGGAUUUCGUGUUUCUGGAGGGGAGGAAUGCUGAUAAUGUUCACGUGCAAGUUUGUCAGGAAUACAUGGCAUCACCUUUACCCCCGAGGCUGUCUUCAUACCGAAAGCCAAAGAGCAGCUCGAGUGUCUCUGGAGAUUUCUCAGAGGUGAAGGAAUGGAUGCUGUCGGACUCUGAGGGAGAUGCUGUGCAUGUACUCCUGAACCUUGGAGACAUGGGAGUGAUGGAUAUUGUCCAGUGAUUGAUCCUUUAAAAACAUACCCAGGGAUUUAAGACAGUGUGUAGACUGUAAAUGUUUGAAUACAGCUCCACUUGAACAUGAAAGGGCCAAUCUAGAGCCAGUGUUUGGUUUGUUCUUGAUUACUGUGGUGGUUCAACAUGGAGGCUUAUUCCAAGGCAUAUAUAUUAAUGUUUCUGCCAAUAGAUCCUCCUAAAUGUUACACACUGGACCUUUACUACCUCUUCCUUAUUAUGGAAACAACUAGUUGAGUUCUUUGCACUGUUUUGAAUUUUGAUCCAAAUAUGGUCCAAAACUUCUUAUUUAUCUAGGUUGAGAAUUUAUUUCCCCACUUGAAAAAAUAAUGAACAGUAUUUUCAUGUUGAAUACUGCACAUUUGCCUCCUAAUUUUCUUACAACCUGCAUCAGUGUUCAAUAAAAAUGGAUCAAAAGUU